rnacentral:rRNA from 1 species
UACGGAGGGUGCAAGCGUUAUCCGGAUUUAUUGGGUUUAAAGGGUGCGCAGGCGGGACCUUAAGUCAGUGGUGAAAUCCCUUCGCUUAACGAAGGAACUGCCAUUGAUACUGAGGUUCUUGAAUCUAGUUGACGUUUAGUGGAAUGUGUCAUGUAGCGGUGAAAUGCUUAGAUAUGACACAGAACACCGAUCGCGAAGGCAGCUAACGAAGCUAGUAUUGACGCUCAGGCACGACAGCAUGGGGAGCAAACAGG